rnacentral:rRNA from 1 species
GAUGAACGCUGGCGGCGUGCUUAACACAUGCAAGUCGAGCGAAGCACUUAUUAUUGAAUCUUCGGAGGAUUUAGUAAGUGACUGAGCGGCGGACGGGUGAGUAACGCGUGGGUAACCUGCCUCAUACAGGGGAAUAGCAGUUAGAAAUGGCUGCUAAUGCCGCAUAAGCGCACAGGGCCGCAUGGUCCGGUGUGAAAAACUCCGGUGGUAUGAGAUGGACCCGCGUCUGAUUAGGUAGUUGGCGGGGUAAUGGCCCACCAAGCCGACGAUCAGUAGCCGACCUGAGAGGGUGACCGGCCACAUUGGGACUGAGACACGGCCCAGACUCCUACGGGAGGCAGCAGUGGGGAAUAUUGCACAAUGGAGGAAACUCUGAUGCAGCGACGCCGCGUGAAGGAAGAAGUAUCUCGGUAUGUAAACUUCUAUCAGCAGGGAAGAAAAUGACGGUACCUGACUAAGAAGCCCCGGCUAACUACGUGCCAGCAGCCGCGGUAAUACGUAGGGGGCAAGCGUUAUCCGGAUUUACUGGGUGUAAAGGGAGCGUAGACGGACGGGCAAGUCUGAUGUGAAAGCCCGGGGCUUAACCCCGGGACUGCAUUGGAAACUGUCCAUCUUGAGUGCCGAAGAGGUAAGCGGAAUUCCUAGUGUAGCGGUGAAAUGCGUAGAUAUUAGGAGGAACACCAGUGGCGAAGGCGGCUUAC